CCUACGGGCGGCAGCAGUGGGGAAUAUUGGACAAUGGGCGAAAGCCUGAUCCAGCCAUGCCGCGUGUGUGAAGAAGGCCUUCGGGUUGUAAAGCACUUUCAGUGGGGAAGAAAGCCUUGGGGCUAAUACCCUCGAGGAAGGACAUCACCCACAGAAGAAGCACCGGCUAACUCCGUGCCAGCAGCCGCGGUAAUACGGAGGGUGCGAGCGUUAAUCGGAAUUACUGGGCGUAAAGCGCGCGUAGGCGGUCUGAUAAGCCGGUUGUGAAAGCCCCGGGCUCAACCUGGGAACGGCAUCCGGAACUGUCAGGCUAGAGUGCAGGAGAGGAAGGUAGAAUUCCCGGUGUAGCGGUGAAAUGCGUAGAGAUCGGGAGGAAUACCAGUGGCGAAGGCGGCCUUCUGGACUGACACUGACGCUGAGGUGCGAAAGCGUGGGUAGCAAACAGGAUUAGAACCCGUGUAGUC
rnacentral:rRNA from 1 species